rnacentral:rRNA from 1 species
UGGGGAAUAUUGGACGAUGGGCGCAAGCCUGAUCCAGCAAUGCCGCGUGUGUGAAGAAGGCCUUCGGGUUGUAAAGCACUUUUAUCAGGAGCGAAACGCUGUCGGCUAAUACCCGGCGGAACUGACGGUACCUGAGGAAUAAGCACCGGCUAACUUCGUGCCAGCAGCCAGCGGUAAUACGAAGGGUGCAAGCGUUAAUCGGAAUUACUGGGCGUAAAGCGUGCGUAGGCGGUUUCUUAAGUCUGCUGUGAAAUCCCCGGGCUCAACCUGGGAAUGGCAGUGGAUACUGGGAGGCUAGAGUGUGUCAGAGGGUGGUGGAAUUCCCGGCGUAGCGGUGAAAUGCGUAGAGAUCGGGAGGAACAUCAGUGGCGAAGGCGGCCACCUGGGACAACACUGACGCUGAGGCACGAAAGCGUGGGGAGCAAACAGGAUUAGAUACCCUGGUAGUCCACGCCCUAAACGAUGCGAACUGGAUGUUGGUCUCAACUCGGAGAUCAGUGUCGAAGCUAACGCGUUAAGUUCGCCGCCUGGGGAGUACGGUCGCAAGACUGAAACUCAAAUGAAUUGACGGGGUCAUAGCUGUUUCCUG